UGGAGAGUUUGAUCCUGGCUCAGAUUGAACGCUGGCGGCAGGCCUAACACAUGCAAGUCGAACGGUAGCACAGAGGAGCUUGCUCCUUGGGUGACGAGUGGCGGACGGGUGAGUAAUGUCUGGGAAACUGCCCGAUGGAGGGGGAUAACUACUGGAAACGGUAGCUAAUACCGCAUAACGUCGCAAGACCAAAGAGGGGGACCUUCGGGCCUCUUGCCAUCGGAUGUGCCCAGAUGGGAUUAGCUAGUAGGUGGGGUAACGGCUCACCUAGGCGACGAUCCCUAGCUGGUCUGAGAGGAUGACCAGCCACACUGGAACUGAGACACGGUCCAGACUCCUACGGGAGGCAGCAGUGGGGAAUAUUGCACAAUGGGCGCAAGCCUGAUGCAGCCAUGCCGCGUGUAUGAAGAAGGCCUUCGGGUUGUAAAGUACUUUCAGCGAGGAGGAAGGUGUUGUGGUUAAUAACCGCAGCAAUUGACGUUACUCGCAGAAGAAGCACCGGCUAACUCCGUGCCAGCAGCCGCGGUA
rnacentral:rRNA from 1 species